rnacentral:rRNA from 1 species
AGCGAACGCUGGCGGCAGGCCUAACACAUGCAAGUCGAACGGAUCCUUCGGGAUUAGUGGCGGACGGGUAAGUAACACGUGGGAACGUGCCCUUUGGUUCGGAACAACUCAGGGAAACUUGAGCUAAUACCGGAUGUGCCCUUCGGGGGAAAGAUUUAUCGCCAUUGGAGCGGCCCGCGUCUGAUUAGCUAGUUGGUGAGGUAACGGCCCACCAAGGCGACGAUCAGUAGCUGGUCUGAGAGGAUGAUCAGCCACACUGGGACUGAGACACGGCCCAGACUCCUACGGGAGGCAGCAGUGGGGAAUCUUGCGCAAUGGGCGAAAGCCUGACGCAGCCAUGCCGCGUGAAUGAUGAAGGUCUUAGGAUUGUAAAAUUCUUUCAGCGGGGACGAUAAUGACGGUACCCGCAGAAGAAGCUCCGGCUAACUUCGUG